rnacentral:rRNA from 1 species
AGACCCGAAACCCGGUGAUCUAGCCAUGGGCAGGUUGAAGGUUGGGUAACACUAACUGGAGGACCGAACCGACUAAUGUUGAAAAAUUAGCGGAUGACCUGUGGCUGGGGGUGAAAGGCCAAUCAAACCGGGAGAUAGCUGGUUCUCCCCGAAAGCUAUUUAGGUAGCGCCUCGUGAAUUCAUCUCCGGGGGUAGAGCACUGUUUCGGCUAGGGGGCCAUCCCGGCUUACCAACCCGAUGCAAACUGCGAAUACCGGAGAAUGUUAUCACGGGAGACACACGGCGGGUGCUAACGUCCGUCGUGAAGAGGGAAACAACCCAGACCGCCAGCUAAGGUCCCAAAGUCAUGGUUAAGUGGGAAACGAUGUGGGAAGGCCCAGACAGCCAGGAUGUUGGCUUAGAAGCAGCCAUCAUUUAAAGAAAGCGUAAUAGCUCACUGGUCGAGUCGGCCUGCGCGGAAGAUGUAACGGGGCUAAACCAUGCACCGAAGCUGCGGCAGCGAACGUAUCACCCAAGACAACUUUACGGAGUUGACGAUUGACGGAGCGAAGCGACGUCAAAGCGUUCAUUAAAGUCGAGUUGGCUUAGGGAUACGUUCGUUGGGUAGGGGAGCGUUCUGUAAGCCUGUGAAGGUGUGUCGUGAGGCAUGCUGGAGGUAUCAGAAGUGCGAAUGCUGACAUAAGUAACGAUAAAGCGGGUGAAAAGCCCGCUCGCCGGAAGACCAAGGGUUCCUGUCCAACGUUAAUCGGGGCAGGGUGAGUCGACCCCUAAGGCGAGGCCGAAAGGCGUAGUCGAUGGGAAACGGGUUAAUAUUCCCGUACUUGGUGUUACUGCGAAGGGGGGACGGAGAAGGCUAUGUUGGCCGGGCGACGGUUGUCCCGGUUUAAGCGUGUAGGUGUGUGUUCCAGGUAAAUCCGGUUCACUUUAACACUGAGGCGUGACGACGAGGCACUACGGUGCUGAAGCAACAAAUGCCCUGCUUCCAGGAAAAGCCUCUAAGCAUCAGGUAACAUCAAAUCGUACCCCAAACCGACACAGGUGGUCAGGUAGAGAAUACCAAGGCGCUUGAGAGAACUCGGGUGAAGGAACUAGGCAAAAUGGUGCCGUAACUUCGGGAGAAGGCACGCUGACAUGUAGGUGAAGUGAUUUACUCAUGGAGCUGAAGUCAGUCGAAGAUACCAGCUGGCUGCAACUGUUUAUUAAAAACACAGCACUGUGCAAACACGAAAGUGGACGUAUACGGUGUGACGCCUGCCCGGUGCCGGAAGGUUAAUUGAUGGGGUCAGCGCAAGCGAAGCUCCUGAUCGAAGCCCCGGUAAACGGCGGCCGUAACUAUAACGGUCCUAAGGUAGCGAAAUUCCUUGUCGGGUAAGUUCCGACCUGCACGAAUGGCGUAAUGAUGGCCAGGCUGUCUCCACCCGAGACUCAGUGAAAUUGAACUCGCUGUGAAGAUGCAGUGUACCCGCGGCAAGACGGAAAGACCCCGUGAACCUUUACUAUAGCUUGACACUGAACAUUGAGCCUUGAUGUGUAG